GUGGGGAAUCUUCCACAAUGGACGAAAGUCUGAUGGAGCAACGCCGCGUGAGUGAAGAAGGGUUUCGGCUCGUAAAGCUCUGUUGUCGGGGACGAAUGUGUAGUAUUUGAAUAAAGUACUGCAAUGACGGUACCUGACGAGGAAGCCACGGCUAACUACGUGCCAGCAGCCGCGGUAAUACGUAGGUGGCAAGCGUUGUCCGGAAUUAUUGGGCGUAAAGGGAGCGCAGGCGGGAAGGUAAGUCGGUCUUAAAAGUGCGGGGCUCAACCCCGUGAUGGGAUCGAAACUAUCUUUCUUGAGUGCAGGAGAGGAAAGUGGAAUUCCUAGUGUAGCGGUGAAAUGCGUAGAUAUUAGGAGGAACACCAGUGGCGAAGGCGACUUUCUGGACUGUAACUGACGCUGAGGCUCGAAAGCCAGGGGAGCGAACGGGAUUAGAAACCCGAGUAGUCC
rnacentral:rRNA from 1 species